ensembl:ncRNA C05E7.5 ncRNA
AAACGAGGGAACAGAACAAUGAGAGGAGAAGUUCGAGAAAGCUGGUAUCAAUU